rnacentral:rRNA from 1 species
AGAGUUUGAUCCUGGCUCAGAAUCAACGCUGGCGGCGUGCCUAACACAUGCAAGUCGAACGAGAAAGGGGAGCAAUCCCUGAGUAAAGUGGCGACCGGGUGAGUAACACGUGACUAACCUACCUUGGAGUGGGGGAUAACCUCGGGAAACCGGGGCUAAUACCGCAUAACAUCUUCGGAACGGAAGAGCUGAAGAUCAAAGCAGCAAUGCGCUUUUAGAGGGGGUCGCGGCUGAUUAGCUAGUUGGCGGGGUAAUAGCCCACCAAGGCGAAGAUCGGUAUCCGGCCUGAUAGGGCGCACGGACACACUGGAACUGAAACACGGUCCAGACUCCUACGGGAGGCAGCAGUGGGGAAUUUUGCGCAAUGGGGGAAACCCUGACGCAGCAACGCCGCGUGGAGGAUGAAGUCCCUUGGGACGUAAACUCCUUUCGACCCCGACGAUAAUGACGGUACGGCGUGGA